rnacentral:rRNA from 1 species
UACAGAAGCCUCAAGCGUUACCCGGAUUUACUGGGCGUAAAGGGUGUGUAGGUGGUGCGAUUAGUCUUGUGUUAAAUCUCUGGGCUCAACCCGGAACUCGCGCAGGAAACGGUCGCACUAGAGGAAGUGAGAGGUGUGUGGAACUCAUGGUGUAGGGGUGAAAUCCGUUGAUAUCAUGGGGAACACCAAAAGCGAAGGCAACACACUGGCACUCUCCUGACACUGAAACACGAAAGCGUGGGUAGCGAAUCGG